AGAGUUUGAUCCUGGCUCAGGAUGAACGCUAGCUACAGGCUUAACACAUGCAAGUCGAGGGGCAGCAUGGUCUUAGCUUGCUAAGGCCGAUGGCGACCGGCGCACGGGUGAGUAACACGUAUCCAACCUGCCGUCUACUCUUGGACAGCCUUCUGAAAGGAAGAUUAAUACAAGAUGGCAUCAUGAGUCCGCAUGUUCACAUGAUUAAAGGUAUUCCGGUAGACGAUGGGGAUGCGUUCCAUUAGAUAGUAGGCGGGGUAACGGCCCACCUAGUCUUCGAUGGAUAGGGGUUCUGAGAGGAAGGUCCCCCACAUUGGAACUGAGACACGGUCCAAACUCCUGCGGGAGGCAGCAGUGAGGAAUAUUGGUCAAUGGGCGAGAGCCUGAACCAGCCAAGUAGCGUGAAGGAUGACUGCCCUAUGGGUUGUAAACUUCUUUUAUAAAGGAAUAAAGUCGGGUAUGCAUACCCGUUUGCAUGUACUUUAUGAAUAAGGAUCGGCUAACUCCGUGCCAGCAGCCGCGGUAAUACGGAGGAUCCGAGCGUUAUCCGGAUUUAUUGGGUUUAAAGGGAGCGUAGAUGGAUGUUUAAGUCAGUUGUGAAAGUUUGCGGCUCAACCGUAAAAUUGCAGUUGAUACUGGAUAUCUUGAGUGCAGUUGAGGCAGGCGGAAUUCGUGGUGUAGCGGUGAAAUGCUUAGAUAUCACGAAGAACUCCGAUUGCGAAGGCAGCCUGCUAAGCUGCAACUGACAUUGAGGCUCGAAAGUGUGGGUAUCAAACAGGAUUAGAUACCCUGGUAGUCCACACGGUAAACGAUGAAUACUCGCUGUUUGCGAUAUACAGCAAGCGGCCAAGCGAAAGCGUUAAGUAUUCCACCUGGGGAGUACGCCGGCAACAGUGAAACUCAAAGGAAUUGACGGGGGCCCGCACAAGCGGAGGAACAUGUGGUUUAAUUCGAUGAUACGCGAGGAACCUUACCCGGGCUUAAAUUGCAGAUGAAUUACGGUGAAGGCCAUAAGCCGCAAGGCAUCUGUGAAGGUGCUGCAUGGUUGUCGUCAGCUCGUGCCGUGAGGUGUCGGCUUAAGUGCCAUAACGAGCGCAACCCUUGUUGUCGGUUACUAACAGGUUCUGCUGAGGACUCUGACAAGACUGCCAUCGUAAGAUGUGAGGAAGGUGGGGAUGACGUCAAAUCAGCACGGCCCUUACGUCCGGGGCUACACACGUGUUACAAUGGGGGGUACAGAGGGCCGCUACCACGCGAGUGGAUGCCAAUCCCCAAAACCUCUCUCAGUUCGGACUGGAGUCUGCAACCCGACUCCACGAAGCUGGAUUCGCUAGUAAUCGCGCAUCAGCCACGGCGCGGUGAAUACGUUCCCGGGCCUUGUACACACCGCCCGUCAAGCCAUGGGAGCCGGGGGUACCUGAAGUGCGUAACCGCGAGGAGCGCCCUAGGGUAAAACUGGUGACUGGGGCUAAGUCGUAACAAGGUA
rnacentral:rRNA from 1 species